rnacentral:rRNA from 1 species
AUUGAACGCUGGCGGAAUGCUUUACACAUGCAAGUCGAACGGCAGCACGGGGCAACCUGGUGGCGAGUGGCGAACGGGUGAGUAAUACAUCGGAACGUGCCCAAUCGUGGGGGAUAACGUAGCGAAAGUUACGCUAAUACCGCAUACGAUCUACGGAUGAAAGCGGGGGAUCGCAAGACCUCGCGCGAAUGGAGCGGCCGAUGUCAGAUUAGGUAGUUGGUGGGGUAAAGGCUCACCAAGCCAACGAUCUGUAGCUGGUCUGAGAGGACGACCGGCCACACUGGGACUGAGACACGGCCCAGACUCCGACGGGAGGCAGCAGUGGGGAAUUUUGGACAAUGGGCGCAAGCCUGAUCCAGCCAUUCCGCGUGCAGGAUGAAGGCCUUCGGGUUGUAAACUGCUUUUGUACGGAACGAAACGGUUCUCUCUAAUACAGGGGGCUAAUGACGGUACCGUAAGAAUAAGCACCGGCUAACUACGUGCCAGCCGCCGCCGUAAAAC